rnacentral:rRNA from 1 species
CAGCAGCCACGGUAAUACAGAGGGUGCAAGCGUUAAUCGGAAUUACUGGGCGUAAAGCGCGCGUAGGUGGUUUGUUAAGUUGGAUGUGAAAUCCCCGGGCUCAACCUGGGAACUGCAUCCAAAACUGGCAAGCUAGAGUAUGGUAGAGGGUGGUGGAAUUUCCUGUGUAGCGGUGAAAUGCGUAGAUAUAGGAAGGAACACCAGUGGCGAAGGCGACCACCUGGACUGAUACUGACACUGAGGUGCGAAAGCGUGGGGAGCAAACAGGAUUAGAUACCCCCGUAGUCCCUGUCUCUUAUAU